GCUAAGUUUUGGAGGCAGAAGCACAUUGAAGAAGAGGAUCACCUCUUUGCUGCUGAAAAGGCAGCAGCACGGGUCAGUGCUCGCAAUCUCACUAUAAAAUCUCAUACUUACAUUUGAAUUUUCUGAUUCAUCAUUCAUCACUCGCCAGAUACACAUAAAACGCUACUGAGAUUUGUUUUUAGGCCUUUUAUUCAACUGGGUAUUUGUUGCUGAUAAUUUGUUCAGGUAAUUGUUUUUGGCCUAUAAGAGAAGGCUGUGCCAAAGGUUGCCUUCUGAUUCAUGCUGGUUGGUUGCGUCUAUGGACUAUGGCUACCAUGGGGUUGAUAGUGCUGCAACUACCUAUCCAUUUUCAAUUUAAGUCCUGUUUGGCAUUGAGUUUCAGAGUCUGA
rnacentral:misc_RNA from 1 species